rnacentral:lncRNA from 1 species
AAAAAAUGAUUUAAUCAAAAUUUAGUAUAUUUGAUCUUAAUUAAAUUUUAAAAUAAAGACAAAGAGUAGCUUCUUUAUUUUAUAUUGGCAUAAAAUCUUAGUGGUCCUACAUCAAAUUAUUCUUUAUUUUAUAUUGGCAUAAAAUCUAGUGCACAAAUAAGAGACCAAAAACACCCAAAAAAAUAUAUAUACCUUGCACAUGUUUGGAGGGCAAACAUUGUUGCAACCAUGUGAAGCCUUAUUGAAAUCAUGGUAAGGUGAAAUUCUAACUCUUCCUUCUUGAUUAACAUAACCAGGAUUAGAGUUAAUCUCUGAGAAGCAUUCACUAAUUCCCAAAUGCUUCAAAAUAGUUUCAAUGUAAAACAUAUUAGCAUCACUAACAAUCCUCAAAUCACACCCUAAAGCAUGAGCUGAUUUAAUUGCAGGUAUUAUUCUGUGAUGAAUUGGAAUCCUUUGAAGAACCUUUUCAAUCUCUUCAAUGGUUACACCAUUUGAAUGAAAUUCCAUCAUCAUUUUGUCCUAUAAUUUCAAAACCAAAACAAGAAAGAAUAAAGUUAAUAAUAUAUUUAUGCAAAUUAACACCAUGCAGAAUUUCUAAUGAAUGAAAAUAGAACACAUGAAUAUGAAGAGAAUAAAAAACAUACCAUGACGGAAUUCCAAGGCAUUGUGGGAAGGAGCUGAUUGAACAAAUCGGUGAAACCCAAUUCAUCAAUCAACCAAUUAUCACUAUCACAAUCAAUGAUGGUUUUGUCAAAGUCAAAAAUAAUAACAAUAUUAUUAGACAUUUUUUUCUUUGAGAUGUGAGAAAGUGAAUGUGAAAAAUUUCAAUGACCUGAAAAAAAUCUCUCACUGCUCUCAAAGUUGGUUCUUUCUUGGUUUGGAGUUGAUAUAGUGAGAGAGAAAGGUAUUUAUAGGGAAAUUGAAAAAGCCAAAACGGAAAACAAGUAAUUAAUUUGGCAAAUUCUAUGGUUUGAGUGUACCGGUACACCAUACAUUAAAUUAAUAAUUAAAUUGAUUGUUUUUUGAAGAAAAAAUAAUUAUUUUCUAUCAUUGGCAAUUAUAAUAAUUAAAUCUUAUUUACCAAAAGCGUCGAUGAAAUAAAAUUUACUUUUUUUGAAUUUUUAUUGCUCAUAAUGAAGAAUUUUUAUGAGAAAAUGUUAAAAAUUUAAUAUAAUUCAUAUAAACAAUGAAAUGAUGUUUUUUUUUCUCAUGAGAUGGUGUUUUCUAAAAUAUAAAUAAUGAUAAAUAACAACUUAUUUCAAAAAAUAAUCAUUAAUUUAUAAAUUUAUGAAGCAGAGUCUCGGUACACCUCAAUUUAUGAGGUGUACCGUAGAAGCUCCCAAUUAAUUUUGUUUUAAAUGAUAAAAAGAAUAUUUUAUUUGAGAGGAAUAUUACGUAACAUACCAUAACUUAUAAUCCUCGUCGUAUUUUAAAAUAAAUUAAAUAUCCACCGUUGGAUCAGUUUGAAUUUAGGUUAUUUAGAAGAUCGGAGUGUGUGGGAUGGUUAGGGCAUGAGAAGAAUAAGGAGGAUUGAUGACGAGGAUUAUGAGUGUGAAAUGCACAUCUCCACCACUAAAUGCAUUUGCAGCCCAUAAGCAUAUUCUUGGUAUAGUUCCAUUCCAUAUGCUUCUAAAAUUGGUUUAUUUUAAUUUUAAUCAAUUUAUUUAUUUACCAAUCUUUUUUUAUUUUCUGUAUAUAUAUAAAACUAAUUUUGAUUUUGUUCUAAUUCCUUAACUUAACUUAGAAUAAUGAGAAAACCAAUCCAAAAUCUCAUAUCCCUUAAAAUAUAAUAGUAUAUAUACCUAUCUUUAUUUUUUUCAUGGACUUAUCAUUACUAUAUUUACAAUACUAGUUUAGUAUUAGUAUUUUAAAAAAAAUAUUAAAUAUAUAUUAAAAUAUAGAUUUAACACUUCAUAACCCUAUAUUUCCUCCAAAAUCCUCCAAAGACAGGUAUAUAUCAAAAUAAAUAAAUUGAAAAUCAACAUGAUACAUGACCACAUAUUAUCAUGUUAUUCUUUUAGUUUUUUUUUUUUUUUAAUAUAAAGUAUAUAUAUGAAAAUAUAGACUUAAUAGUAACACCUUUAAAAUCCUAUAUCCUCUAAAAACAAAGUCGCUAUUUGGUUCUAUGGUUCAUGUAGGCCGAGAGGGCAAUCGUGCCGGCCACCUCUUGCUCUCAGUGAACCAACCACCUUGCAUUGUAUGGUUGGGCUAAUCCAUUUUAAUUUUCUUUUUCUUAUUUUUUCAAUAAUAAAGUAUGUGAACGAGAUGGACUAGUGGACAAUUGCACCGUAAUACCCUCCUUUUAUCGAUUCCAAAAGAUGGUCAUAUUACAAGCAAGCUAAUUAAGUGAAGCAACAAAUUCGACAUAUAGUUUUAUUUCAUUAAAUGACUUCUUCUUAUAGCCAUAUAUAAUUCAAGGGAGGAGGGUAUCAAGCAUCAAUCCAUGGCUGUCACACCAGUCAAUGCUCACAUCGAUCCUUCCACACAUAUUGUUGCUCAAUUACAAUUUUUUGUAAUCCUCUCACAGUAUAUUUAUGCAUUAUCGUAUCGUUUUCUGUUUAUACUUCUCUUCUAACAAAAUCAUAACGACUUCAAGUAAAAUGUCUUCAUCCACUAAAAACACGAAUGUUUCAUUUCUGUCACUAUCCGAAUUAUUGUGUGCAAGUAUGAGUUAUAUGUUCUACAUUGAAUAAAAAAGGAGAGGUUGAACACUUUAUAAAUGGGAAGACCCAUAAAAUCAUUGCCUUAAGAUUUUGAGUAAGAGUGUGAUGUCUCUAUCGCUUGUGUUGUUGCUCUGAUUUGGACGUGGGUGGCCCCUGACUCCCCUCGUGACCCAACAAAAUGCAUAUAACUAUUAUGCAUGCACUAUUUUCAUAAUGGGAGAAGAAAUUUAAUUGGUUGAGUCACAUUUCGUGAAUUCAUGAAUCAUUUGAAAAGCUAUUUUUCGCGAUAAAUAACACCACUCAUUUAUAAAAAAACUCAUUUUAAAUUGUACUGGUAUCAUACAAUCUUACUUGUUUUCAUUUUCUAUGUCUGUGAGUGUAGUUAAUUAUACAAGUCACCUUUCAACUAAUCCAAUACCAUGAAAAUUUGGGUCCUUUGACUCCUAUAUAAUGAGUUCGAAAUUUACAUCGUAUCAACGUGGAUUUUGAAAUAGACUCUAAGAAUAUUGUGUUCAAAUUUCAUAUCAAAAUAUAAGAUAAUUCGAAGCGUGGUGCUAUUAUUUAAGAUUGUCAAAGACUUCAUAGUUUGAUUUUUAACAAACUUUUGCGUUGAUAUACUAAAAGACAAGUUAAUGAAGUUGCCCACAAGUUAAUAAAGACGAUCACAUCUCUAAUUAGUUUUCACAUUUUCACUUACAUACAACUUGUAUUAAUAUUAUUCUUAAUGAAAUGAUUUAAGGUUGUUGUAGUAAAAAAAAAUACUACAAAUAUUUUUAGAAUAAAUUUAAAACUAGUUUUGAUACAAAUAUUUUUUACACAUCAAUACACUAGUAAAAUAAUUAACCAGCACAAUCAAGGAAAGUUUAGACCAAUUCUAGUACAAGAAAAGGUUUAUUAAAAGUUAAUCAAAGGACAAAAGAAAGACCCAUUACAUUUGCAAUGAUAGAAAAUUAGUAAGCUUAGAAUCUAUGGCCUAACUGAGACAGCUUUAGGCAAAGAUACAAGUACUGGACUAGAUAGAGUUUGUAGCUUGCAAUCUGAUGAAAUAAAUUGAACAUGUUCCUCCAUCAUAAUUUUGUUAAUCAAAUUCAUCAAAACUUGUUCCAAUUCUUCUCCAUCACUCCAACCAUGAAUUUCAGCUUUGACAAGUGAAGGAUCUUUGCAUAUCAAAUCCCACACUGGAAAAUUCUUCCUUGGCAUCACAAAGUCUCUUUCUCUAAGCCUCAAACUAGGGCAAUAGUCCCCUGCACCAUCACCAAGGUAGAUAAACCUCUUGCUAUCCUCUUCAAAAAUUGAAUUUUGAAUUUUAUCAAUGAUUAAACCCUGAAAUAAUGAUUUUAAAAAAAAGAUUAGUAUAUUUUAUCAUAAUUAAAUUUUAAAAUAAAGACAGAGUAACUUCUUUAUUAAUUUAAACUAGUGGUCCUACAUCAAAUUAUUCUUUAUUUUAUAUUGGCAUAAAAUCUAGUGCACAAAUAAGAGACCAAAAACACCCAAAAAAAUAUAUAUACCUUGCACAUGUUUGGAGGGCAAACAUUGUUGCAACCAUGUGAAGCCUUAUUGAAAUCAUGGUAAGGUGAAAUUCUAACUCUUCCUUCUUGAUUAACAUAACCAGGAUUAGUGUUAAUCUCAGUGAAGUAUUCACUUAUUCCUAAAUGCUUCAAAAUAGUUUCAAUGUAAAACAUAUUAGCAUCACUAACAAUCCUCAAAUCACACCCUAAAGCAUGAGCUGAUUUAAUUGCAGGUAUUAUUCUGUGAUGAAUUGGAAUCCUUUGAAGAACCUUUUCAAUCUCUUCAAUGGUUAUUCCAUUUGAAUGAAACUCCAUCAUCAUUUUGUCCUACAAUUCCAAAACCAAAAAGUUAAUCACAUAUAUUAGAGACAAUGCAGAAUUUCAAAUGAAUGAAAAACAGAGUAUUUUACAAAACAGAGCACAUGAAAGGAAUAAAAAGCAUACCAUAACAGAAUUCCAAGGCAUUGUAGGAAGGAGUUGAUUGAACAAAUCAGUGAAACCCAAUUCAUCAAUCAACCAAUUAUCAC